rnacentral:sRNA from 1 species
ACGACAUCCUAAUGUCUUUAUGUUUGAAAAUUUUGAAUUUUUUUUAGCUGCAUAAUCCUGUUCGUCCUUUAAUAUUUUUUAUGCCAUGCAUUUGAUCAGUCAUUUUUGCUCCCAGAGUAACUUUUAAACUUUGUCAAUUUCUUACAUGUGUACUUAUUAUCAAUGUUAUUCAUUAACAUUUAUUAAUGAAUGGUUCAUUCAAUACGUGAUCUUUGAUCACCUUUUUUUAUUGUUAUAUAUGAAUUAUGAAGAAUAUUAAGUAAAUCAAUUUUAAAAGCUUUAUUUUCUUGAAAUGUAUGAAAUUUGAAAUAUGAAGGUUGAAAAUAGAUUAUGAAUAUUUUGAUUUCAUAAAUUUACAGAUCCUUACAUACAUGAUUUUGUUGCACAGAAAAAAAUGAAACUGUUGUAAUUGAACUGCAAGUUCACCAAAAUAAUGGACAUGUUAUGUACACUGAAUUUUGAAUGGAAAUGAUUGCUCUAUUAAUAAAUUUGAAAUGAUUAAUUGUUU